CACAAAGUGUGGCUUAUCCACGCAGAAUUAGAAGGAGUGGAUCACUGCUUGGGGGAAGUCCACCUUGUGCUUGAUUUCCCAGAGCUCUCAGGACUUAGCCGGGGCAGCUGAGCAGACGGGAGCUCACUCGGUGGGGAGCAGGAUGGGCGCAUGGUGCUCUGGUGUCCCCAGGUGGGCACUCGGGGCCUGACCACUGCCCAGCUGUGCAGGAGAGCUCAGCCCGGGACCCGGGGCUCUGCAAAAGUCUCCAUCCUUGCUAAAACUGCUGCCAAAUGUGUGGCUUCCACCAGAAGCGAGAAGAAAUCUCCACGUUGGUUCUUCCAGGAACAGAAAUGGCUCGGUGAACACCUCGUCUCUCGGAGCUCCAGCUCAGAGUCCGCUGCCUGCUUCUGUCCACCUGCUCUCGUGGGUUGCAUUUGAAAUGGCAGUGCAAGGAAAUUUUGAAACAAGAAAAUCCAGUUUAAAGCUGGGCGUGGUGAUGCACACCUGUAAUUCCAGCACUCAGGAGGCUGAGGCAGGAGGAUUGCUGCAAGUUCAAGGCUGGGACUCUGGGCCGUGGCCGCCAGGUGCUCCGCCCACCCCGCUGAGUGGCUGAGGAAGCGGGAUGGGCCCGCCACCGCCAGCAGGACAUGAGCUGAGGCAGGCGGUGAGGACGCAGCGUUGGG
rnacentral:lncRNA from 1 species